AUGAGCUCCAAGUACCCGUGGUCUGUCCGGGGCUGCCUGCCCCUCUGCGCCCUAACGCUGGAAGCAGCUCUCAUUCUCCUCUUCUUUUUUUUUACCUACUACAACGCUUCCUUAGAGGAUCAAGAGGGGCUUGUGGCGUCCUAUCAAGUCGGCCAAGAUCUGACUGUGAUGGCGGCCCUUGGCUUGGGCUUCCUCACCUCGAAUUUGCAGAGACACACCUGGAGCAGUGUGGCCUUCAACCUCUUCAUGCUGGCGCUUGGUGUGCAGUGGGCAAUCCUGCUGGACGGCUUCCUGAGCCAGUUGUCUCCUGGGAAGGUGGUCAUCAAACUGUUCAGUAUUCGGCUGGCCACCAUGAGUGCUAUGUCGGUGCUGAUCUCAGUGGGUGCUGUCCUGGGAAAGGUCAACUUGGCGCAGUUGGUGGUGAUGGUGCUGGUGGAGCUGACAGUUUUUGGCACCAUGAGGAUGGUCAUCAGUAUUAUCUUCAAAACAGACUACCACAUGAACCUGAUGCACAUCCAUGUGUUCGCAGCCUAUUUUGGGCUGACUGUGGCCCGGUGCCUGCCAAAGCCUCUACCCCAGGGAACGAAGGAUAAAGAACAGAUAGCAACGAGAUCCAGUUUGUCUGCCAUGCUGGGCACCCUCUUCUUGUGGAUGUUCUGGCCAAGUUUCAACUCUGCUCUGCUGAGAAGUCCAAUCGAAAGGAAGAAUGCUGUGUUCAACACCUACUAUGCUCUAGCAGUCAGCGCGGUGACAGCCAUGUCAGUGUCAUCCUUGGCUCACCCCCAAGGGAAGAUCAACAUGACUUAUAUGCACAAUGCGGUGUUGGCAGGAGGCGUGGCUGUGGGUAUCUCGUGUCACCUGAUCCGUUCUCCAUGGCUUGCCAUGGUGCUGGGUCUUGUGGCUGGGCUGAUCUCCAUCGGGGGAGCCAAGUGCCUGCCGGUUUGCUCCUAA
rnacentral:sRNA from 1 species